rnacentral:rRNA from 1 species
GAUGAACGCUGGCGGCGUGCUUAACACAUGCAAGUCGAACGAAGCAUACCAUGGAAGCCUUCGGGUGGAAGCGGUAUGACUGAGUGGCGGACGGGUGAGUAACGCGUGGGUAACCUGCCUUAUACAGGGGGAUAACAGUUAGAAAUGACUGCUAAUACCGCAUAAGCGCACAUGACCGCAUGGCCAGGUGUGAAAAACUGAGGUGGUAUAAGAUGGACCCGCGUCUGAUUAGCUAGUUGGUGGGGUAACGGCCCACCAAGGCGACGAUCAGUAGCCGGCCUGAGAGGGCGACCGGCCACAUUGGGACUGAGACACGGCCCAA